UGGGGAAUAUUGGACAAUGGGGGAAACCCUGAUCCAGCAAUGCCGCGUGAGUGAUGAAGGCCUUAGGGUUGUAAAGCUCUUUCGACGGGGACGAUGAUGACGGUACCCGUAGAAGAAGCCCCGGCUAACUUCGUGCCAGCAGCCGCGGUAAGACGAAGGGGGCUAGCGUUGUUCGGAAUUACUGGGCGUAAAGCGCGCGUAGGCGGUCUUUCAAGUCAGGAGUGAAAGCCCCGGGCUCAACCCGGGAAUAGCUCUUGAUACUGUUGGACUUGAGUCCGGGAGAGGAUAGUGGAAUUCCCAGUGUAGAGGUGAAAUUCGUAGAUAUUGGGAAGAACACCAGUGGCGAAGGCGGCUAUCUGGACCGGUACUGACGCUGAGGCGCGAAAGCGUGGGGAGCAAACAGG
rnacentral:rRNA from 3 species